rnacentral:misc_RNA from 1 species
GCAGGAAAAAAAAAAAAGAACAUUUUUCUUUGUUGAUUGCAUAUAUUCUUUUGAAUCCUUGUUUGACUUCACAGGUUUUAUGGCUAAUUUACCUGUGGGAAUGAGUAGUGGAGAGGCAUAAGUGAUAGAAUAAUAUCAUCUUCUGGUUGCAUGUUCAUUUUGCGUGUGCAUUUACAUUUGACUUUAGCAAACAUAUUCAUUUUGCUUAUGUAUUAACGUUUGACUUUAGCAAACACAAGCUAUAUGCAUUUUUCCUGGAAUUAGAUAAAAAAAAAAUCAUACAUAAAUGACUUGGCCCAGGAGGAGGUGAGUCAAAGUAAAUUUCUUGAAAAAAAUCAGAGAACUAAUUGCUUUUACAAUUUUUGUACAACAAUUAGAGAAGAUCAGUCAUCUCCUGCUGUGGAUGAUGAAAUUCCCAGAGAGGAUGCAAAUGUGGCAGUUGUAUCCCCACUGAGAUACCUUUUUAGCCGAUCCAAGUCGUCAGCAGCAUCAAGCAUUGUAGGUCUUGUGGAGGGGGACUCUUGAGUGCAAAGAAUACCUAACUCGAUCAAUUCUCCUAUUGCAACUUCCCACAUAUUCUUUACUUCAGGGGAUUGAUCUCUUAAAGCUCUUACCAAUGAAGAGUCUAUAACUUGUUCAACUCUACCAUGGUAAUGAUUCUUCACCCAUUUGUGCAGGCUUAGCCCACCAACAAACAUUUCAUCUGUUGGUCUUGUUCUAGUGACAAUCUCGAGAACUACAAUACCAAAGCUAUAAACAUCUCCUUUUGUAGAUGUGUUUGAACCAAACCCAUAUUCUGCAUUAUCAAAUUAUAACUGACUUAGGAUGUUCUUGGUACCAAUUGGUUGCAACACAGAACUUUAAUUAUUAAAUAAUGAAUUAGAAAGUCAAAUAAAUGUAAAUAAUGAUUGAUGAUGCUAGUGGGAUCCUUUUUAUGGCAACAGUGUAAUGUUGGAAUUAAGGAAUCAUUUUUUGCCCAAUCUUUUAUGCAUAAUUUGUGCAGAUGAUGCAUUUCUAUUUCGUAGCCGAGCCGAAUUGUGGAAAAUGACUUUUAAGAUAAUCAGAAAAGAAACAAGGGAAGCCAGUUUUUUUAUUUAAAGGAUUAUGGUGUCUUCUUAAAGAACGAACUUACAUGCAGAACUGCAGCUUACCAUUGCCCAACUCAAUCGUGAUGAGUGCAUUUUUUCCUAAAACAUGCUUGAACUUUUUGAUUUGGUGUUUACUUUUACAGAUGAAGCAAUGGAAGAAUUUGUACCUGGUGCAAUGUAUCCAAUAGAUCCGCAUAAGUUUGCAGUAGAGUUCCCCAUAUUCUCAACAACCACAGCAUUUCCACCACCAACUGUCAAAACCAACCUUGCAAUACCAAAGUCAGAAACCAGAGCCGUCAUGUCAUCAUUAAGAAGAACGUUGCUUGGCUUUAGAUCACAAUGUAUGACUUUAACAGGGGAAUGGUGAUGCAGGUAAGCCAUCCCUUCAGCUAUGUCACUGCAAAUGUUCACCCUCUGGAUGAGAGUCAAAUCAGAGGAGCCUGAAACCAAACCUGUUCCUGAAUGUGGGUAGAGACGGCUAUCCAAACUUCCAUUUGCCAUAUAUGGAAGAACAAGAGCUUUAAAAUCAGGAAGACUGCAUGCUGUUAUAAUCCUGAUCAAAUUUCUGUGCCGAAUCCUCUUUAAAACUUGGCAUUCUCUGUUAAAACUCUUUGUUGAGUUUCCAGAUUGCAACUGCAAUACCUUUACAGCUAUCAGAGUCCCAUCUGGAAGAAUUCCCUUAUAGACACGUCCAUAACUACCUGUACCAACUAGUCUUUGUUCAUCAAAUCCUUCAGUGGCCUCAGACAGUUCUCUGUAAGUAAUUCUUGGAAAAUUGUGGAUCAAUUCUGGCUCUGUUGGUUUUUCUGUUCUCUCAGUUCUCAGUGAAUUUCGAGAAGAAACCAUAACCUUGAUUUGGCGGAUUCCAAUUACACAACAUAUUGUUGAAAAGAAAGCUGAUACAAAUAUGACUGGGAUGAAUAUAAUCAAGAACAUACGCGAGCGAAACCAGCGACUUUUUUGAGAGCAAGCAGGCAUGCCAGAAACUGCACCACAAAGAUGCUGAUUGCCUAAGAAUGACCUAUUUGUAACUAAAUUGAAGAUACCACCAGAGGGAAUUAGUCCUUCAAAGUUGUUAAAAGAAAGAUUCAGAUAGGUGAGGGUGUGAAUUUUGUUGAGGCUUACUGGGAUCAUUCCAGAGAGGUGAUUUCCAGAAACAUCAAAGGAUUCAAGGUUCUUUAGAUCACCAAGGGAAUCAGGUAGGUUCCCUUGAAGGGAAUUAUUUGAGAAAUUUACCAUCCUCAACGCAAUGCAGCUUGAUAUCUGAAAGAAGAUGCUUCCAGUGAGAUUGUUUGAUGAAACAUCUAUCUCUUGAACAUUUUCCAGCUUGCUCAGUUCAAUUGGCAAAGGCCCGUCAAGAUGAUUGUGUGAAAGGUUUAAAAAUAUUCGUAUCUCACGCAUUCCUGAUAUUUCUGGAGGAAUACUCCCAAUCAAUCUGUUAUGGGACAAGUCUAGCUUGUACAGAUCAAUGCACUGUCCUAAUGUUGGAGGUAUGUUUCCUGAAAGGAGAUUGUUGUUGAGAAACAUAUAAUUCACCCGAACUAAAUUUCCUAAGCUUGCUGGUAUUUCACCUGAGAAUUGAUUAUUUGAUAGAUCAAGCAGACCAAGAUGAGAAAACUGACCUAAUGCUGCUGGAAUUUCACCAGUGAACAAGUUGUGUGAUAAGAAAAGUUGCUCUAGGCUGAGCAAAUGACUGAUCUUUGCUGAAAUUGUUCCAUUUAGAUAAUUGGAUGUCAAAUUCAACACUGUAAGAGCAGUAAGAUUUGCUAUAUUUGAAGGGAUUGAUCCAUAGAUCUGGUUUUCUUGCAGCAUAAGAGAAGAAAGUUUGGCACUAAGUUGGCCAAUGGAACUGGGCAAGCUUCCUCUGAGACCCAUCCCAGCCAAUUCAAGCUCCUCUAAGUCAGUGCAAUUUCCAAGUGCAGUGAAGAAUGGUUCAAGAUUGGUGUUGUUAUUGUGACUAACCAUAUGAUUAUAUGAUAGAUGGAGUAAGCUAAGUGAAGGUAGAUUUCCUACAAUAUUUGCAGGCAAUUCACCAGAAAGAUGGUUAUACUCCACGUCUAUAUUGUAGAGUGAAAAUGAAAUAUUGGUUAAAGAUACAGGAAGUUCUCCUGUAAAUUGAUUGUUGUAUAAAUUGAUGGUCCAUAGGUCAGGGCAAUUUCCAAUUUCUUCAGGAAUAUUUCCUGUGAAAAAGUUACGAGACAAGUCUACAUUUUCUAAUGAAGUGCAGUUGGAGAAGAAAGAAGGUGGAAGUUCACCUUUCAUAUUGUUGCCCCUGAGACUUAUCAAAGUGAGUUUCGAAAGCAGGGCAAAGGACUCUGGCAAUGAGCCAUCUAGAUGGUUCAAGUCUAGCUGGAGAUGACGCAGGUGUCGAAGGGAAGACAGUUCAGGAGGAAUAAGGCCAAAAAAGUAGUUUUCGACUAGGUUGAGAACUCGAAGUCCAGUGAGGUUUGAAAUGAUUGGUGAAAGUGGCCCUGUGAGUUCAUAGUUGGACAGAUUCAGUUGUGCUAUGCGGUGAUGGUGCUUGUCACAUCUGACACCUGUGAAGUUGCAGACAUCAACAGCCUCAACCCAGUUAGCAAGUCUGAAAUUUGGAUCUAGAAUUAGGGUCUUUCUGAAUGCUAGAAGAGCAGCCUUGUCUGUAAGCAAGGAGUGGUUGAGAUGGUGACUAUAACCUGAAACUGCAAAGAGGUGUGUUAAAACCAAAUGCUGGAGGAGCAGCAGAACUGUCCAAAUGAAUGCCAUUUUUAUUAUUCUGUUAAGUGCUCACUAAUAUUACUUUUGUGAAGCCCUCUGCUUCUGUUUUCAUCCUGCUUCAUAAUAAUAAUGAUGUAAUUGAAGUCCUGAAAAC